rnacentral:rRNA from 1 species
UACGGGGGGGGCAAGCGUUGUCCGGAAUCAUUGGGCGUAAAGCGCACGUAGGCGGCCCUGUAAGUCCGUUGUGAAAGUCAAAGGCUCAACCUUUGAAUGCCGAUGGAUACUGCAGGGCUAGAGUCCGGAAGAGGCGAGUGGAAUUCCUGGUGUAGCGGUGGAAUGCGCAGAUAUCAGGAGGAACACCAAUAGCGAAGGCAGCUCGCUGGGACGGUACUGACGCUAAGGUGCGAAAGCGUGGGGAGCGAACAGG